CGCCAAGGAGAAUCAAUUACUUCACAAUGAGCACCAUCACAAUAAUAAGAAACAGAGAAUUCGACGAAUACAUAACCCUCAAGAAAAAAAGUGCAAUUUG